CCUACGGGAGGCAGCAGUGAGGAAUAUUGGUCAAUGGUCGUAAGACUGAACCAGCCAAGUAGCGUGAAGGAUGACUGCCCUAUGGGUUGUAAACUUCUUUUAUGCGGGAAUAAAAUGUGCCACGUGUGGGAUUUUGUAUGUACCGCAUGAAUAAGGACCGGCUAACUCCGUGCCAGCAGCCGCGGUAAUACGGAGGAUCCGGGCGUUAUCCGGAUUUAUUGGGUUUAAAGGGAGCGUAGGCGGAUUGUUAAGUGAGUUGUGAAAUGUUGUGGCUCAACCGUGGCAUUGCAGUUGGAACUGGCAGUCUUGAGUACAGGAGAGGUAGGCGGAAUUCGUGGUGUAGCGGUGAAAUGCUUAGAUAUCACGAAGAACUCCGAUGGCGAAGGCAGCUUACGGGAGUGCAACUGACGCUGAAGCUCGAAGGCGUGGGUAUCGAACAGGAUUAGAUACCCGUGUAGUC
rnacentral:rRNA from 1 species